GAUGAACGCUGGCGGCGUGCCUAAUACAUGCAAGUCGAGCGAACGGACGAGAAGCUUGCUUCUCUGAUGUUAGCGGCGGACGGGUGAGUAACACGUGGAUAACCUACCUAUAAGACUGGGAUAACUUCGGGAAACCGGAGCUAAUACCGGAUAAUAUUUUGAACCGCAUGGUUCAAAAGUGAAAGACGGUCUUGCUGUCACUUAUAGAUGGAUCCGAGCUGCAUUAGCUAGUUGGUAAGGUAACGGCUUACCAAGGCAACGAUGCAUAGCCGACCUGAGAGGGUGAUCGGCCACACUGGAACGUAGACACGGUCCAGACUCCUACGGGAGGCAGCAGUAGGGAAUCUUCCGCAAUGGGCGAAAGCCUGACGCAGCAACGCCGCGUGAGUGAUGAAGGUCUUCGGAUCGUAAAACUCUGUUAUUAGGGAAGAACAUAUGUGUAAGUAACUGUGCACAUCUUGACGGUACCUAAUCAGAAAGCCACGGCUAACUACGUG
rnacentral:rRNA from 1 species